UUUCUGUAAAGUAGAUUUUGUAGA
rnacentral:piRNA from 1 species